GAGCGAGACUCCGUCUCAAAAAAAAAAAAAAAAAGAAAAAACUUGGCAAUGACAGCACCAGGGCCUUCUCUGACAGCAGCCUGGAUGGAGAGUGAAUUACCCGGGAAAUGCAGCAGAGGCCGGGGUAGAACGAGGGUGCCCAGGCAGGAGCCAGGGUGACCCCAUCUACUCUCCGGUCACUGGGGGCUGGGACAGUGGUGGCGUUGUCUUCAAAGCAAGGUGAGCUGGACGGAGGCUGGGAUCCUCAGGACUGGGCUGCUGGCCUCUGCACUGUCGGUAUGAGGGCCAACAUGAUUACAUGUUCUUCUCUUAGUUUGGUCACAUUAUUUUGAGUCAUGUCACUCUCACCUGAAACUACAGCUAACAAUAAACUGACCUGUUAUCCACACCUGACUGGCAACUUAGACUGGGUGAAAUGGAUUGUGUUUUCUGAUCCCUCCUGUCAUACAGCUCGUAUGGGCUACAGACAAAUAUGAAUGCAUUAUUAAUAAACCGGCAGACUGCGCAGGGGAGAGCGCAGAUGGCUGCAUAUGUUAAGAGCUGGAGGCAUUAAUUAUGAAGCAUCCUUAUCUUCUGGGGUUCACUCACGUCAUGACAGUACAAGUGUUUUCCUGGUAAAUCUACUGACAUUCUCCCUGCCAGGCUCAUCCCCUGUGCUGUGUGUGCCAGGAACAGCCCUUGGCCGAAUAAGGACAGACACAGGCCAGUGAGGGAGCCCCACCACGGCCACCUGAUCUUACAGAGGAGCAUGCGGCAACCCCCUGAGUUAGACACUGGGGAAAAGUGACGGAACUUCCUAUGCCUCCUCCGUGUGGCAGAGGCUUGAGACCCAGCCAGGAAGCGCUGGGAAGCCAACCCCCAGGAGAGUGACAUCGAACCGAGUUCUUAAAGAAUUCAUUGGGUUAAUUACAGGUUAAUUAGGGGAAGAGGAGAGGGACUGGAUUUGUGAAUUAUUUAUGUUCCGUAAGGAAGAAUGACGGGGAAAACAGUUGAAACAGCUUACAUCUCUACAUACCUGUUGGUUAUGAGCACGGACUGUUGGGUUUUUCCCUAUUAGUAAAAUAAAAUCAGUAAAUAUUUGACUAGA